rnacentral:lncRNA from 1 species
GCCUCACGAUCCGUGGGAUUCACAGUAUGGAGGCGUUUAGGGAGCACUUGUAUCACUCAGCAUUGCAAGAGGGAGGAAAAUUUUGGUAGGGAAGAUGUUCAUCAGAGCAGUGCCCAUCACCUGUUCAAUGAAAUGUCUAGCCGAUAUGGGGUGUCCGAGGGAGAUGUUCUUCGCGUCAUGAACGAGGAGAUGUUAACCAGGGAUGAGGCAAUCCAUUGGUUACUAGAGGACUUUGAGCUGAUGGAAUCCCAGCGCAGAUUUGAUGAUAAACUUAAUCGGUUACUACAAAUGUUUGGUGUGAAGGAAGAAAGGAUGCCCACCAAGUGUUCGACGCCGGGACCAAGCUACGCUACCACCAAGGCAGUGCUCAAUCGCACUCCUACUAAACCAGAACGUGUGUUCCCGAGUACCACAAGUUUGUCCGCGCCCUCAAUUAUCUCAGCUGCUAGGGCAACAACAUUGCCUUCGAUUGAGACCGAGGAAGCCGAAGGCGACAUGACUCAGGUUGAGGAGGAAACAGAAGAUACCCUUCAUGAUCUGUGUGCCAAGGUGGAGCUAAAACAGCGGGCUGAUUCACUAAUUUCUGUAGAACUAAAGGCACCUCGGCCGCCACCAACUAAAUAUUUAAUAUGUAUGAAAUGGCCACGGUUUAUCUCAACAAAGGCACCUUCCAUUGUGGCACAACAAAAGCUACUGCUAGAGACAAAUCAAAGGACACUCAUCACUAGGAUCUCCCCUAUAGAAGAGAAAUGGGUUGCUGGGCUGAAGGACAAAAUAAGAUUGGAAGAUGUUGAUUUCAAUUGGAAAAUUCUUGGUCUACAUGAUAAAGAAGUUGUACCUAAGCUCAGCUUGAUUAAGAAUGCAGUGGGAAGGGUGGCUGUUAAGUUGUCUAUCAAGGCCAUGCAACAGCAAGCACUUGGAGGCAUCAAACAUUUGGAAUCGGCAAAGGCAGCUUCGGCCACGACUGGAGGCAUCAAACAUUUGGAAUCGGCAAAGGCAGCUUCGGCCACGACGGCGGCAGCUACUUGGGUGGCCAGGCUUGGCACCCUUGUUGAUCUUCUUCUCUACCCUUCCUCUUUCUCUACUUGUCUAGAAACUACUAUAACCUUCUAUUCAUGUGGGUUCCUGACAGGAGAGGCUAGCGCCGACUCCGCACCGCUCGGCCUCGUCGGUGGCGGCUCCCAUGCGGAGCAGAUGGGCGAGGGGUGCCGGGGGCGUGGCGGCAGGCGAGCGGAAGUCGUCAGCACCCGCCUCCCCCCAUCCGCAGCUUAA